rnacentral:lncRNA from 1 species
CCCAACCUUCCUCUGCAGCGCCCCUACCGACCCGCGCUCCGCAGCUCCUGAGGGCUUUCGAGCCCAGAUGGUCAUCUGAGACGAGAGGUGGCGGCGAAGGAGAGUCUCGCCUGUCACGCUCCCGGAGCAGGGGCUUCAUGAGGUGGCCAUGGAAACAGCCUGGCAGACUCCCAUCUCUCCUGGUGCCAUCUCCGGAGCGGAAAGUGGAGCGCCCCGCUGGCGACCAAGGCCGCACUGAGAGCCCUGGUUUGGUCAACAGUUGGGCUCCAAGGAGCCCUGGUAUUCCUUGAACAUGCAUACCUUUCCCAGCGUGAGGGACAUGGACCGUGCCGUGCGAGGGACCCCAUCUUCUGCAGCAGGAGGGAGCAGAGAAGAGAACACAGCCACCCUCAUCAGCCAGAGUUCAAACCCUGACAGUGCCCAUGGAGAGAUCUGGUCCAAGGCACCAACCUCUUCCUGCUGGACUGAGAAAGAGCCUCCUACUGUGUCUCUCUUUACCUCAGCUUUUGCACACCUCCAAUAUAUUGUCCACUGAAGUCAGAAUAAUCUAAAAAUAAAGGCUGAUUACCUCAUGUGGUAUAAACUUA